GACAGAGGCCCCAAGCGUUAGGCGGAAUCACUGGGCCUUAAAGCGUGUGUAGGCGGACGCCUAAGUGUCUUGUGAAAUCCCACGGCUCACCCGUGGAACUGCUGGGCAUACUGGGCGUCUUGGGCCAACUAGGGGCAGCCGGAACAAGCGGUGGAGCGGUGAAAUGCGUAGAUAUCGCUUGGAACGCCGAAGGUGAAAACAGGCUGCUGGGGUUGCGCCGACGCUGAGACACGAAAGCCAGGGGAGCAAACGGG
rnacentral:rRNA from 1 species